rnacentral:rRNA from 1 species
GUGUCAGCAGCCGCGGUAAUACGGAGGUUGCAAGCGUUGUUCGGAAUGACUGGGCGUAAAGGGAGCGCAGCCGGCUCGAUUAGUCUGGAGUGAAAGCCCGGGGCUUAACCCCGGAGGGUCUUCGGAUACUGUCGAGCUCGAGUACGGAAGAGGAGAGUGGAAUUCCAGGUGUAGCGGUGAAAUGCGUAGAUAUCUGGAGGAACACCGGUGGCGAAAGCGGCUCUCUGGUCCGAUACUGACGGUCAGGCUCGAAAGCGUGGGGAGCAAACGGGAUUAGAUACCCCGGUAGUCCACGCCGUAAACGUUGUGCGCUAGGUGUGGGAGGUAUCGACCCCUCCCGUGCCGCAGCUAACGCACUAAGCGCACCGCCUGGGGAGUACGGUCGCAAGACUGAA